rnacentral:lncRNA from 1 species
UCCCUUGGUGUGAGUAAGCGCGCGCAGUGCCCCCGGCCACGACGGUGACCCGAGAUCCGCUGUAAAAUAGCGUAGUAGUAAUAUGUGCAACUAGCUUCCAGCUGCUUCAAAUAAAAUAAAGAGGAUUGGCCGCGGCGCCCUGUUCCGGUGUAAAUUUUGUCACGGAUGAUAACAUGAAUCUUGUCACAGUUCUCUGAACUCUGGGUUGUAGUACUGGGACAAGAGUGAUUUAGAGCCUGACUGCUCGCCAUCUUAAAAUUCAGCUCCGCUCCAGAAAAAAUAAGCCAAACAGGAUAGCUUCAUGAUAUGCCGCUUCAUAAAAAAAUAGAAUCUGGGAUACAAAUUCCAAUUUUUUAUGAAGCUCUUCAGGGUGCUUCAACAAACUCUAGAAGCUAAAGUUGGGUGGAGAAAGGCAAACCAAACAGGGUAGCUUCAUGAUAUGCCGCUUCAUAAAAAAAUUAGAAUCUGGAAUACAACUUUCAAUUUUUUAUGAAGCUUCAAAGGGUGCUUCAACAAACUCUAGAAGCUGGAGUUAGGUGGAAAUUACCCACCACUGUCACCAGUAACUGGAUACCUUUCGUUUUUUCCCUUAAAACCAAUCAAAUAGAUCCUUUUAUCAAAUUUCUUAUUUUUAAGCUGAAGCUAGAUAGAAGUCAAACAUUUUCUUUGCUAGUGCUACAACUUCUGGAUGAAACUGCUUCAAAGUGAAUUUAAUUGAGCGAAACUGAUUUUGAUGAAGCGGAGCAGUUUCGAACAGGCCUGUCGGAGUAAUGGACCACGGGUAGCCUCACCCGAGUUCCUGAACCUACGGGUUCCGUUAUUGGUUAUUGACCAGAGAGAUGUCUUGGUCAUGUCUGCAUAGUUCUUGAACCCGUAGGGUCGGCACGCUUAACGUUCGUUGACGAUAUGGUAUUAUAUGAGUUAUGUAUGUUGGUAACCGAAUCUUGUUCGGAGUCCCGGAUGAGAUCACGGACAUGACAAGGAGCUCCGGAAUGGUCCGUAGGUAAAGAUUGAUAUAUUGGAUGAUAUGGUUAGGCCAAGGGGUCAGGCCCACGGGGCUAUAAGUCGGUGCAAAAGGACUUUUGCGGAGGCCAGGGGCCAAACGCCGGAGACCCUGGCGUCUGGUCCUGGGCCAGACGCCGAGGCCCAUGGCGUCUGGGCCAGACGCCAAGGAUUGUGGCAUUUGGUCCUGGAGUCCGAGUGGGACUCUUUCCUUUCGGGCAAAACCGACUUUGAGGAGGCUUUUACUCCAAGUUUCGACCCCAGGGCUCAACAUAUAAAUAGAGGGGCGGGGCUAGCACCAAAGACACAUCAAGAAACACCAAGCCGUGUGCCGGCAACCCCGUCCCCUCUAGUUUAUCCUCCGUCAUAGUUUCCGUAGUGCUUAGGCGAAGCCCUGCGAAGAUUGUUCUUCACCAGCACCGUCACCACACCGUCGUGCUGCCGGAACUCAUCUACUACUUCGCCCGUCUUGCUGGAUCGAGAAGGCGAGGAAGUCAUUGAGCUGAACGUAACUCGGAGGUGUUAUGCGUUCGGUACUUGGAUCGGUCGGAUCGUGAAGACGUACGACUACAUCAACCGUGUUGAUAAACGCUUCCGCUUAGCGAUUUUCAAGGGUAUAAAGAGACACUCCCCCUCUCGUUGCUAUGCAUCACCAUGAUCUUGCAUGUGCGUAGGAAAUUUUUUGAAAUUACUACGUUCCCCAACAAUGGCAUCCGAGCCAGGUUUUAUGCGUAGAUGUUAUAUGCACGCCACAAGUGAGUUGUGGGCGAUACAAGUCAUACUGCUUACCAGCAUGUCAUACUUUGGUUCGGCGGUAUUGUUGGAUGAAGCGGCCCGGACCGACAUUACACGUACGCUUAUGCGAGACUGGUUCUACCGACGUGCUUUGCACACAGGUGGCUGGCGGGUGUCAGUUUCUCCAACUUUAGUUGAACCGAGUGUGGCUACGCCCGGUCCUUGAGAAGGUUAAAACAGCACUAACUUGACGAACUAUCAUUGUGGUUUUGAUGCGUAGGUAAGAACGGUUCUUGCUAAGCCCGUAGCAGCCACAUAAAACUUGCAACAACAAAGUAGAGGACGUCUAACUUGUUUUUGCAGGGCAUGUUGUGAUGUGAUAUGGUCAAGACGUGAUGCUAUAUUUUAUUGUAUGAGAUGAUCAUGUUUUGUAACCGAGUUAUCGGCAACUGGCAGGAGCCAUAUGGUUGUUGCUUUAUUGUAUGCAAUGCAAUCGCCCUGUAAUUGCUUUACUUUAUCACUAAGCGGUAGCGAUAGUCGUAGAAGCAAUAGUUGGUGAGACGACAACGAUGCUAUGGUGGAGAUCAAGGUGUCGCGCCGGUGACGAUGGUGAUCAUGACGGUGCUUCGGAGAUGGAGAUCACAAGCACAAGAUGAUGAUGGCCAUAUCAUAUCACUUAUAUUGAUUGCAUGUGAUGUUUAUCUUUUAUGCAUCUUAUCUUGCUUUGAUUGACGGUAGCAUUAUAAGAUGAUCUUUCACUAAAUUUCAAGAUAAAAGUGUUCUCCCUGAGUAUGCACCGUUGCCAAAGUUCGUCGUGCCCAGACACCACGUGAUGAUCGGGUGUGAUAAGCUCUACGUCCAUCUACAACGGGUGCAAGCCAGUUUUGCACACGCAGAAUACUCAGGUUAAACUUGACGAGCCUAGCAUAUGCAGAUAUGGCCUCGGAACACUGAGACCGAAAGGUCGAGCGUGAAUCAUAUAGUAGAUAUGAUCAACAUAGUGAUGUUCACCAUUGGAAACUACUCCAUUUCAUGUGAUGAUCGGUUAUGGUUUAGUUGAUUUGGAUCACGUGAUCACUUAGAUGAUUAGAGAGAUGUCUAUCUAAGUGGGAGUUCUUAAGUAAUAUGAUCAAUUGAACUUAAAUUUAUCAUGAACUUAGUCCUGGUAGUAUUUUGCAAAUUAUGUUGUAGAUCAAUAGCUCGCGUUGUUGCUUUCAUAUGUUUAUUUUGAUAUGUUCCUAGAGAAAACUAUGUUGAAAGAUGUUAGUAGCAAUGAUGCGGACUUGGUCCGUGAUCUGAGGUUUAUCCUCAUUGCUGCACAGAAGAAUUAUGUCCUUGAUGCACCGCUAGGUGACAGACCUAUUGCAGGAGCAGAUGCAGACGUUAUGAACGUUUAGCUAGCUCAAUAUGAUGACUACUUGAUAGUUUUGUACAUCAUGCUUUAUGGCUUAGAACCGGGACUACAAAAAUGUUUUUGAAACGUCACGGAACAUAUGAGAUGUUCCAUGAGAUGAAAUUGAUAUUUCAUACUCAUGCCCGUGUCAAGAGGUAUGAGACCUCUGACAAAUACUUCGCCUAAAAGAUGGAGGAUAAUUGCUCAACUAGUGAGCAAGUGCUUAGAUUGUCUGAGUUCUACAAUCACUUGAAUCAAGUGGGGAGUUAAUCUUCCAGAUAAGAUAGUGAUUGACAGAGUUCUCUAGUCACCAUCACUAAGUUACUAGAACUUCAUGAUGAACUAUAAUAUGCAAGGGAUGACAAACACGAUUCCCGAGCUCUUCGUGAUGCUGAAAUCAACGAUGGUAGAAAUCAAGAAAGAACAUCAAAUGUUGAUGAUUGACAAGAUCACUAGUUUCAAGAAAAGGGCAAAGGGAAAGGAAGGAAAACUUCAAGUAAAAUGGCAAGCAAGUUGUCACUCCCGUGCAGAAGCCCAAAGCUGAACCAAAGCCUGAAACUAAGUGCUUCUACUGCAAAGGAAAUGGUCACUGGAAGCGGAAAUGCCCUGAAUAUUUGGUGGAUAAGAAGGAUGGCAAAGUGAACAAGGGUAUAUUUGACAUACAGGUUAUUGAUGUGUACCUUACUAGUGUUUAUAGUAUCCCCUGAGUAUUUGAUACUUGUUCGGUUGCUAAGAUUAGUAACUCGAAAUAGGAGUUACAGAAUAAACAGAGACUAGUUGAGGGUGAAGUAACGAUGUGUGUUGGAAGUGGUUCCAAGAUUGAUAUGAUCAUCAUCGUACACUCCCUAUAUUUUCGAGAUUAGUGUUGAACCUAAAUAAAUGUUAUUUGGUGUUUGCGUUGAGCAUAAAUAUGAUUAGAUCAUGUUUAUUGCGAUACGAUUAUUCAUCUAAGACAGAGAAUAAAUUGUUAUUAUGUUUACAUGAAUAAAACCUUCUAUGGUCAUACACCCAAUGUUGAUGGUUUAUUGAAUCUUGAUCAUGGUGAUACACAUAUUCAUAAUAUUGAUGCCGAAAGAUGCAAAGUGGAUAAUGAUAGUGCAACAUAUUUGUGGCACUGCCGUUUGAGUCAUAUCGGUGUAAAGCGCAUGAAGAAACUCCAUAAAGAUGGAUUUUUUUGAAUCAUUUGAUUAUGAAUCAUUUGAUGCUUGCGAACCGUGCCUUAUGGGCAAGAUGACUAAAACUCCGUUCUCCGGAACAAUGGAACGAGCUAGUGACUUAUUGGAAAUAAUACAUACUGAUGUAUGUGGUCCAAUGAGUGUUGAUGCUCGUGGCGGGUAUCGUUAUUUUCUGACCUUCACAAGAUGAUUUGAGCAGAUAUGGGUAUAUCUACUUAAUGAAACACAAGUCUGAAACAUUUGAAAUGUUCAAAAAAAUUCAGAGUGAAGUGAAGAAUCAUCGUAACAAGAAAAUAAAGUUUCUACGAUCUGAUCAUGGAGAAGAAUAUUUGAGUUACGAGUUUGGCCUUCAUAUACAACAGUGUGGAAUAGUUUCACAGCUCACGCCACAUGGAACACACAGCGUUAUGGUGUGUCCGAACGUCGUAACCACACUUUAUUGGAUAUGGUGCAAUCUAUGAUGUCUCUUAUCGGUUUACCACUAUUGUUUUGGGGUUAUGCAUUAGAGACAGUUGCAUUCACUUUAAAUAGGGCACCAUCGAAAUCCGUUGGUACGACGCCUUAUGAACUGUGGUUUGGCAAGAAACCAAAGUUGUCAUUUCUUAAAAUUUUGGGGCUACAAUGCUUAUGUGAAAAGUUUCAACCUGAUAAGCUCGAACCCAAAUCGGAGAAGUGCGUCUUCAUAGAAUACCCAAAAGAAACUGUUGGGUACACCUUCUAUCACAGAUCCGAAGGCAAGAUAUUCGUUGCUAAGAUGGAUCCUUUCUAGAGAAGGAGUUUCUCUCGAAAGAAGUGAGUGGGAGGAAAGUAAAACUUGAUGAGGUAACAGUACCUGCUCCCGAAUUGGAAAGUAGUUCAUCACAGAAAUCAGUUCCAGUGAUUCCUACACCAAUUAGUGAGGAAGCUAGUGAUGAUGAUCAUGAAACUUCAGAUUAAGUUACUACAGAACCUCGUAGGUCUUCCAAAGUACAGUCCGCACCAGAGUGGUACGAUAAUCCUGUUCUGGAAGUCAUGUUACUAGACCAUGAUGAACCUACGAACUAUGAGGAAGCGAUGAUGAGCCCAGAUUCCACGAAAUGGCUCGAGGCCUUGAAAUCUGAGAUAGGAUCCAUGUAUGAGAACAAAGUGUGGACUUUGGUGGACUUGCCCGAUGAUCGGCAAUCCAUAGAAAAUAAAUGGAUCUUCAAGAGGAAGACGGACGUUGAUAGUAGUGUUACUAUCUACAAAGGUCGACUUAUCGCAAAAGGUUUUUCGACAAGUUCAAGGUGUUGAAUACAAUGAGAUUUUCUCACUCGUAUCGAUGCUUAAAAGUCUGUCUGAAUCAUGUUAGCAAUUGCCACAUUUUAUGAAAUCUGGCAAAUGGAUGUCGAAACUGCAUUCCUUAAUGGAUUUAUUAAUGAAGAGUUGUAUAUGAUGCAACCAGAAGAUUUUGUCAAUCCUAAAGGUGCUAACAAAAUGUGCAAGCUCCAGCGAUCCAUCUAUGGACUGGUGCAAGCAUCUCGGAGUUGGAAUAUACGCUUUGAUGAGUUGAUCAAAGCAUAUGAUUUUAUACAGACUUUUGGAGAAGCCUGUAUUUACAAUAAAGUGAGUGGGAGCACUACAGCAUUUUUGAUAAGUAUAUGUGAAUGACAUAUUAUUGAUCGGAAAUAAUGUAUAAUUAUUUUGCAAAGCAUAAAGGAGUGUUUGAAAGGAGUUUUUCAAAGAAAUACCUCGGUGAAGCUGCUUACAUAUUGAGCAUCAAGAUCUAUAGAGAUAGAUAAGGACGCUUGAUAAGUUUUUCAAUGAAUACAUACCUUGACAAGAUUUUGAAGUAGUUCAAAAUGGAACAGUCAAAGAAAGAGUUCUUGCAUGUGUUAGAAGGUGUGAAAUUGAGUAAGACUCAAAGGCCGACCACGGCAGAAGAUAGAAAGAGAAUGAAAAAUCAUUCCCUAUGCCUUAGUCAUAGGUUCUAUAAAGUAUGCUAUGUUGUGUACCAGACCUAUUGUAUACCUUGCUGUGAGUUUGGCAAAUGAAUACAAUUUUGAUCUAAGAGUAGAUCACUGGACAACGGUCAAGAAUAUCCUUAGUGAGGACUAAGGAGCUGUUUCUCGAUUAUGGAGGUGAUAAAAGAGAUCGUCGUAAAGAGUUACAUCGAUGCAAGCUUUUACACCGAUCCAGAUGACUCUAAGUCUCAAUCUUGAUACAUAUUGAAAGUGGGAGCAAAUAGCUAGAGUAGCUCCGUGCAGAGCAUUGUAGACAUAGAAUAUUUGCAAAAUACAUACGGCUCUGAAUGUGACAUACCCGUUGACUAAACUUCUCUCUCGAGCAAAACAUGAUCAUACCUUAGUACUCUUUGGGUGUUAAUCACAUAGCGAUGUGAACUAGAUUAUUGACUCUAGUAAACCCUUCGGGUGUUGGUCACAUGACGAUGUGAACUAUGGGUGUUGAAUCACAUGAUGAUGCGAAAUAACGGAGGCCGAUGUGCCAUGGAGCUCUCUGUUUUCCCUUUCGGCAAGAGAAGAAUUUUGUUUCUUCGUCCUGUGUAGUCGAUGCAGCAGCAGCUGCUCCAGCUUCAUUGCCGACGUAGAGAGAGCUCUGCAGCGCAUGUCGUCGCCUUCCUCCAGUCCAGUCCAGUAGCAUUGGGUCCUUGACUCUCCUGAAUUACUACAACUAUUGCUGGCCUUGCCUUUUCUAUCUAUGUAAAUGUAAAUCCAUCUACUGACCGAUCUGCUCCAAGAUUAUUAUUACUUUUACUUCAAGAUCAUGUCUCGGUAAAAUUCUCCGGGGAUCAACUUUUGUUACUCUCUGGAUGAUAAGCUUGAAGUCGACCGACCGACUAGCGCACCAGGCAGUACCAAAACUCGAUCAUCCAGCCAUGCGGGCAUGUGUAUGUCUCGUCCCGGCACGCGGCGCGUGGGCCAUGUGCCAUGGCACGCUCUGCGCGUCUCCUUGCCGAACGUGUGUCGACUUGAAGGCCAGUAAAGUGCGUCGGCACUACCGCUUGCCUCGGCUAUCUGCUCUGCUCCUGUGGUUCUCUUCUUGCGCGGUUGCGCACUAGCUUUUGCUUUCUAGACUCUGUAUCAUCGACGACCUCCGACCUCGACUUAGCUCCGGGCAGCAGGAGACGAUGUCGGUGAGCCUUGUGAGGGCGUCGCUGCCGGCCUGGUGCUCGGUAGCGGUGGCGGGGAGUAGCGGCCUGCGCUCUCGCCUGCGCGGCACAGCGUGCUCCGGUCGACGUGUGGGCGUUCGGUGCAGCUCCACCACACCGCCGGGGUUCCCUCCAGGCCCGACGCCGCCGGGGUUCCCUCCAGGCCUGACGCCGCCGGGGUUCCCCGCGGUGCCGUCGCCGGAGGAGGUGCCGGGCACGGCCCGCCCGCCCAAGGAUAUGCCGGGCACGGCGCGGCCGCCGCAGGAGAUACCGGGCAUCGUCACGCCGCCGGACUUCAACGCGCCCACGGGCGUGGACGUGCGAUGCCGGGGGCGCCAGUCCUGGGCACGCCUCCCAGCCUAGAGCAGUCGGGGUCGUUCGUGCCAUCACCGCCGAGGCCGGAGAUCCCGACCGUGCCGCCGAACCCCGACGUGAUCCCGCCGCCGCCGCCGGAGGUGGAUCCGCCGCGCACCCCGCCCGAGGUGGUACCUCCGCAGCCGUCCGACGUCCCGCCUCCCUUGGUGUGAGUAAGCACGCGCAGUGCCGCCGGCCACGACGGUGACCCGAGAUCCGCUGUAAAAUAGCGUAGUAGUAAUAUGUGCAACUAGCUUCCAGCUGCUUCAAAUAAAAUAAAGAGGAUUGGCCACGGCGCCCUGUUCCGGUGUAAAUUUUGUUACGGAUGAUAAGCAUGAAUCUUGUCACAGUUCUCUGAACUCUGGGUUGUAGUACUGAGACAAGAGUGAUUUAGAGCCUGGGACUGCUCUGCGCCUCAAAAUUCAGCCCGCUCCAGAAAACACAAGCCAAACGGGGUAGCUUCAUGAUAUGCCGUUUAAAAAAACUAGAAUCUGGGAUACAGCUUCCAAUGUUUUAUGAAGCUCUUCAGGGUGCUUCAACAAACUCUAGAAGCUGGAGUUGGGUGGAAAUUAACCACCACUGCCACCAGUAACUAGAUACCUUUCGUUUCUCCCCUCAGAACAAAUCAAAUAGAUCCUUUUAAUCAAAUUUCUUAUUUUUAAGCUGGAGCUAGAUAGAAGUCAAACAUUUUCUUUGCUAGUGCUACAACUUCUGGAUGAAACUGCUUCAAAGUGAAUUUAAUUGAGCGAAACUGAUUUUCAUGAAGCGGAGCAGUUCCAAACAGGCCUGUCGGAUUAAUGGGCCACGGGUAGCCUCACCCGAGUCCCUGAACCUGUCAAAACUUUGGACCGACUUCGCCCCACGAAACCUCAUAGCUUUGGACCGACUGAAGGAAAUAUGCCCUAGCGGCAAUAAUAAAGUUAUUAUUUAUUUCCUUAUAUCAUGAUAAAUGUUUAUUAUUCAUGCUAGAAUUGUAUUAACCAGAAACAUAAUACAUGUGUGAAUACAUAGACAAACAGAUUGUCACUAGUAUGCCUCUACUUGACUAGCUCGUUGAUCAAAGAUGGUUAUGUUUCCCAGCCAUAGACAUGAGUUGUCAUUUGAUUAACAGGAUCACAUUAUUAGGAGAAUGAUGUGAUUGACAUGACCCAUUCUGUUAGCUUAGCACACGAUCGUUUAGUAUAUUGCUAUUGCUUUCUUCAUGACUUAUACAUGUUCCUAUGACUAUGAGAUUAUGCAACUCCCGUUUACUGGAGGAACACUUUGUGUGCUACCAAACAUCACAACGUAAUUGGGUGAUUAUAAAGGUACUCUACAGGUGUCUCUGAAGGUACUUGGCGUAUUUCGAGAUUAGGAUUUGUCACUCCGAUUCUCGGAGAGGUAUCUCUGGGCCCACUCAGUAAUGCACAUCACUAUAAGCCUUGGAAGCAUUGCAACUAAUAAGUUAGUUGCGGGAUGAUGUAUUACGGAACGAGUAAAGAGACUUGCUGGUAAUGAGAUUGAACUAGGUAUUGAGAUACCGACGAUCGAAUCUCGGGCAAGUAGCAUAUCGAUGACAAAGGGAACACCGUAUGUUGUUAUGCGGUUUGACCGAUAAAGAUCUUUGUAGAAUAUGUAGGAGCCAAUAUGGGCACCCAGGUUCCGCUAUUGGUUAUUGACCAGAGAGAUGUCUCGGUCAUGUCUGCAUAGUUCUCGAACCCGUAGGGUCCGCACACUUAACGUUCAUUGACGAUAUGGUAUUAUAUGAGUUAUGUAUGUUGGUAACCGAAUGUUGUUCGGAGUCCCAGAUGGGAUCACGGACAUGCCGAGGAGCUCCGGAAUGGUCUGCAGGUAAAGAUUCAUAUAUUGGAUGAUAUGGUUAGGCCAAGGGUGUCAGGCCCGUGGGGCUAUAAGUCGGUGCAAAAGGAGUUUUGCAGAGGCCAGGGGGGCAAACGCCGGAGACCCUGGCGUCUGGCCCUAGGCCAGACGCCGAGGCCCAUGGCAUCUUGGCCAGACGCCAAGGAUUAUGGCGUUUGGUCCUGGAGUCCGAGUGGGACUCUUUCCUUUCGGGCAAAACCGAGUUUGAGGAGGCUUUUGCUCCAAGUUUCGACCCCAGGGCUCAACAUAUAAAUAGAGGGGCGGGGCUAGCACCGAAGACACAUCAAGAAACACCAAGCCGUGUGUCGGCAACUCCGUCCCCUCUAGUUUAUCCUCCGUCAUAGUUUCCGUAGUGCU